GGUCUUCCAGCCUGGAAGAUGAAGGAGGAAGGAGGUUUUCCUGGAAGCUGAGAAAGAGCCUGUCCGUUUAGAACCUGUUAUUCCUUUUGGGACCCAAAAAUAUCUCAACUAGGACUCUUCAAGAAUAGCUACCUGAAUUCUCAAAUGUUGAGAGGAAUACUAUAACAUGACCUGGAUACUGUUAAUAUCUCUAAUUCACAAAGAGUUAGAAAAUCCAAUAGAAGGCCUGAGGGAAGUUGAAUGAUUCCUUAUGGAGUAGAAUGCUCCCCAUAUGGAUGAAGAAGCAUGGAAGAUGUAUAGUUUGCAUCAGAUUGUCUCCAGUGGUGAAAUCACAGUAUUGAAUUAUAUGAAAAGAAUGAGAAGAUGACUUCUAGUGCUAUAAUUAUUUCAUCUUUGAAGAUCUAUGGAAAGACAGGACAAGAAUCACAGCAGAAGGAAAGUUUUGGGAGAAGAUGCUAUUUUCAUCAGUGGAGGUCAUGCCCAUAUUUAUCUAAGGGUCUAAUAAAAAAAAGUUUGUUAGAUUUUCUAAUAAAAAGAU